GUGUUUGCUUCGGCAGCACAUGUACUAAAAUUGGAACAAUACAGAGAAGAUUAGUGUGGCCCCUGAGCAGGGAUGACACACAAAUUUGUGAAGUGCUUCAUAUUUUU